UACGUAGGGGGCCAGCGUUGUCCGGAUUCAUUGGGCGUAAAGCGCGUGUAGGCGGCCAGGUAGGUCCGAUGUGAAAUCUGGAGGCUCAACCCUUGAAUGCCGGCCGAUACUGUCAGGCUAGAGUCCGGAAGAGGCGAGUGGAAUUCCUGGUGUAGCGGUGAAAUGCGCAGAUAUCAGGAGGAACACCUAUGGCGAAGGCAGCUCGCUGGGACGGUACUGACGCUGAGACGCGAAAGCGUGGGGAGCGAACAGG
rnacentral:rRNA from 1 species